UUAACGAAUUUGAACAAAACGCGCCAGCGCCAUUUUCUGCACGAGAGGACGAGAUCGCUACACGAGUUGCUGAUGGGAGAAAAAAGAAGACGAAGGAGCUCUUAUUUGAACGACUACAGAUGUAUUUUUAUAACAACAAACCAAAGGAUGAGGACUGCAGCAUUGCUUGGGCUGCCGUGAUACAUGCGAGAGACUCCAUCUAAAUUCAUGAAGAUAUGCGAGCCCAGUGACCAUGAAGAGGAUGUGAUCAAGGGCGUGGUGAUCGGAAUCCUAGUGGUUGUGGAAAAUGCGGAGCCUUUUCCAGAAUUCUACAAUGACGUUGCCCUGGUGAUUGAGGAAGAAGUGGUGAUGCGUCACCCUGAGUGACAUACCUAAUGCUUUUCUGAACCUGAUUGGCCUGGUGUACGCAUUAAACCUUGACUAUCCAAAGGAAUUAAAAUUCACUUUUGAAGUGAUACAGCGCCUGUUCAUUGGAGUUGGAUCACACUCUUGCACCGCAAGAGUUCACUCUUUGAAGAGCAAGUUGCUGAGUUAAGAAACUAU